rnacentral:tRNA from 1 species
GCGCGAGUGGCGGAAUGGCAGACGCGCUGGCUUCAGGUGCCAGUGUCCGCAAGGACGUGGGGGUUCAAGUCCCCCCUCGCGCACGA